AUCUACAGCCAUACCACCCUGAAUGCACCCAAUUUCAUCUGAUCUUGGAAGAACUGAAUACUGUGUCCUACUCUACUGUAGGGC
ensembl:rRNA RNA5SP534 RNA, 5S ribosomal pseudogene 534